GCCGGGUUGGCGCAGCGGUAGCGCAGCUCACUUGUAAUGAGCAGGUCGUCGGUUCGAUCCCGACACCCGGCU
rnacentral:tRNA from 1 species